GUGAUGCAAAUGAUGAACCGCAUAGUUCAGCAGAAAAUCCAUAGAAGAAACGCUAAGCAUUGUCUUUCGCUCCUAGCUUGAUGCAUCAC
rnacentral:snoRNA from 1 species